rnacentral:rRNA from 1 species
AGUGAACGCUGGCGGUAGGCCUAACACAUGCAAGUCGAACGGCAGCACAGUAAGAGCUUGCUCUUACUGGUGGCGAGUGGCGGACGGGUGAGGAAUACAUCGGAAUCUACUUUUUCGUGGGGGAUAACGUAGGGAAACUUACGCUAAUACCGCAUACGACCUACGGGUGAAAGCAGCGGAUCUUCUCACCUUGCGCUAUUGAAUGAGCCGAUGUCGGAUUUGCUAGUUGGCGGGUUAAAGGCCCACCAAGGCGACGAUCCGUAGCUGGUCUGAGAGGAUGAUCAGACACACUGGAACUGAGACACGGUCCAGACUCCUACGGGAGGCAGCAGUGGGGAAUAUUGGACAAUGGGCGCAAGCCUGAUCCAGCCAUACCGCGUGGGUGAAGAAGGACUUCGGGUUGUAAAGCCAUUUUGUUGGGAAAGAAAAGCAGCAGGUUAAUACGCCGCUGUUCUGACGGUACCCAAAGAAUAAGCACCGGCUAACUUCGUG